AUUGAACGCUGGCGGUAUGCCUUACACAUGCAAGUCGAACGGUAGAGGGGCAACCCUUGAGAGUGGCGAACGGGUGAGUAAUACAUCGGAACGUGCCCAGUCGUGGGGGAUAACGUAGCGAAAGCUACGCUAAUACCGCAUACGACCUGAGGGUGAAAGCGGGGGAUCGCAAGACCUCGCGCGAUUGGAGCGGCCGAUGGCAGAUUAGGUAGUUGGUGGGGUAAAGGCCUACCAAGCCUGCGAUCUGUAGCUGGCCUGAGAGGACGACCAGCCACACUGGGAAUGAGACACGGCCCAGACUCCUACGGGAGGCAGCAGUGGGGAAUUUUGGACAAUGGGCGAAAGCCUGAUCCAGCCAUACCGCGUGCGGGAAGAAGGCCUUCGGGUUGUAAACCGCUUUUGUCAGGGAAGAAAAGACUCUUUCUAAUAAAGAGGGUCCAUGACGGUACCGUAAGAAUAAGCACCGGCUAACUACGUGCCAGCCGCCGCCGUAACAC
rnacentral:rRNA from 1 species